AUUGUAUUUUGAAUUUGACAAAAUGGAAUGGAAUUUCCGUAUUUCCAUAUGGAAAUAUGCAUUACAUUAAUUUAUAUUUACCUAUUUUAUUAACUUUCAUGGUGGAAGUAUCAUUUCCCAGAAUUUGCUGCAUAUAAUCAGUAUCAUGUGUCAUUUCAAUUCUAAUUUAAGUUCAACUGUUGUGUUGUUGUCCAGUUCAAUUUUAAUUCACACUCAGAGCGAUCAACUCUGGCGAACAUUAACCAUCUGAAGUGAUGGCUAUCAUUUCAUAAGCAUUUUUUUUUUCUGUUCAUCUAGUCCUUGUAUCUGAUGAAAUUCCUUUUUUCUUUCGGAAGAGUCAGUCAGGUAGCCAUUGAACAUGGACAUCAAUGUAAGUUUUAUUGACAGCUCGAUUGAACUCUGCCCCUGGUCUUCAAGAUUUUCCUAACUUUGAAUGAGGAAGCGGCCAUUCAAACUACACUGACCACAAAAACUAUUCUGAGGCCUCGGUCUUCCCAAGCUCAAUAAUAUCAUUGUCAAACCGAAUUUCCAGACCGCUGCGGCUCCUGAAUCCUCAUCGAGGAGGCAUGCGAUCCAAAUAGCGCUUGAAAAGUGUUGGAGGCCGGUUAAACCUCAGAGAGGUGUGGUGCUGCUUGCGUUUGCACAAACAAUGGAGUGAAGAGUGUUGUGUGGGAUUAGAGCACAUUGUCAACGGUUUAGUAGGUUGUUCAGUGUUUUCCUGAGCUGAGCUGCACACGCAGCCUCGUCUUCUCCUGCGAGUUGGAGCCAGAUCUGCUGGUUUGGAAGGGGGUUGUGGGUGUGUAUGUGACACAUCAUUGGCUUGGGCUGCACAUACAAUCAGUCUCAUCAUUGUAAACCAGCAUGUAACCACGCAUUGGGCUGAUAACUACAUCCAACACACAAUUCCUUCAUGUUCUUUUUCUUGGAGUAACAAGCCAAUGCGUGCAGAUUUCCAGCAGUCUUUUGUAGACGAAAGUGUUUCUUCUAGUUCAUUGGGCAUUGGUGAAGGCACACAGCACUUUGACUGUGUGAAGAAUUACAUGCUGGAGCAUCUCGCAUGAUGAAAAAGAUUGAUUGCACAGUGGCAGACUCUCCAGGGACUGUGAGUGCAUUUUAGUACUUCUGUACCUUCACUGUACAAAGUGUAAAUGAGGAAUAAAUCCCAUAAUGUGAAUCUUGGGAAUUGGGGUGAAGCAAUUUUAUUAUGUUCCACUAAUUUGUCAUAGAGAAAGCCUGUCGGCUGUAGAACAGCCAUCAGAGCCUGCGUUCUUACAGUAUGUUCACUACUCUCGCUUUUUUUUUUAAUUGCAAUCAUUCUUUGCCUCUGAGGUUUGAUGAAUCAUUCUAGGAGCUCUGGGUGAUGCAUGUAAUAUUCAAGACUUUUUGCAAGGAAAAAUGAUUUGCAGCAAAGUUUAAAGGCAAAUGCUGAUAAAUAAAGCAGAAUAAAUGCUGAUGAAAUGCACCUUUGAUUUGACUCAUUACAGAACAGCGGCACCAGAAGCAAUUACACUGCCUCAUUUAAAGUCAAAAUGAUAUCAAAGGGACUCCAUUUACUUUCUCAAUACACAGUAUUAUUGUGAAUGAUUCACCAGUGCAUACAUGCUAUUCCCCCAAAAAGUUGUUGUCUGUAUAAUCUUUCAUUAAUAUAAAUUGCAAACAGUUCCAGAAGAAUUAAAUAAAGUCCUGUUCUCAUACUCAGAAAUACAUUAUCAAAGUAAAUGGGUUGCCAUUUCAUCUUGACUUUUUGCCAC
rnacentral:lncRNA from 1 species